UACGUAGGGCGCAAGCGUUGUCCGGAAUUAUUGGGCGUAAAGAGCUCGUAGGCGGCUUGUCACGACGGAUGUGAAAGCCCGGGGCUUAACCCCGGGUCUGCAUUCGAUACGGGCUAGCUAGAGUGUGGUAGGGGAGAUCGGAAUUCCUGGUGUAGCGGUGAAAUGCGCAGAUAUCAGGAGGAACACCGGUGGCGAAGGCGGAUCUCUGGGCCAUUACUGACGCUGAGGAGCGAAAGCGUGGGGAGCGAACAGG
rnacentral:rRNA from 1 species